rnacentral:rRNA from 1 species
AAGACUAUCAAACUCCGAAUGCCGUCAUCUUAUACUUGGGAGUCAGACUGUGGGUGAUAAGAUUCAUAGUCGAAAGGGCAACAGCCCAGAUCGUCAGCUAAGGUCCCUAAAUGGAAGUUAAGUGGUAAAGGAUGUGGGAUUGCACAGACAACCAGGAUGUUGGCUUAGAAGCAGCCACUCAUUCAAAGAGUGCGUAAUAGCUC